CCUGGUGGCUGAGACGGUAAAGCAUCUGCCUGCAGUGCAGGAGAGCUGGGUUAGAUCCCCAGGUCAGGA
rnacentral:tRNA from 1 species